UACAGGGGGGGCAAGCGUUGUUCGGAAUUACUGGGCGUAAAGGGUUCGUAGGUGGCCACUUAAGUCAGACGUGAAAUCCCUCAGCUUAACUGGGGAACUGCGUCUGAUACUGAGUGGCUUGAGUGCAGGAGAGGAAUGCGGAAUUCCAGGUGUAGCGGUGAAAUGCGUAGAUAUCUGGAGGAACACCGGUGGCGAAGGCGGCAUUCUGGACUGUAACUGACACUGAGGAGCGAAAGCCAGGGGAGCAAACGGG
rnacentral:rRNA from 1 species